rnacentral:rRNA from 1 species
UAAGGGAAUCUUCGGCAAAUGGGACGGAAGUCUGACCGAGCAACGCCGCGUGAGUGAAGAAGGUUUCCGGAUCGUAAAGCUCUGUUGUAAGAGAAGAACGAGUGUGAGAGUGGAAAGUUCACACUGUGACGGUAUCUUACCAGAAAGGGACGGCUAACUACGUGCCAGCAGCCGCGGUAAUUACGUAGGUCCCGAGCGUUGUCCGGAUUUAUUGGGCGUAAAGCGAGCGCAGGCGGUUAGAUAAGUCUGAAGUUAAAGGCUGUGGCUUAACCAUAGUACGCUUNGGAAACUGUUUAACUUGAGUGCAAGAGGGGAGAGUGGAAUUCCANNUUAGCGGUGAAAUGCGUAGAUAUAUGGAGGAACACCGGUGGCGAAAGCGGCUCUCUGGCUUGUAACUGNCGCUGAGGCUCGAAAGCGUGGGGAGCAAACAGGAUUAGAUACCCUGGUAGUCCACGCCGUAAACGAUGAGUGCUAGGUGUUAGACCCUUUCCGGGGUUUAGUGCCGUAGCUAACGCAUUAAAGCACUCCGCCUGGGGAGUACGACCGCAAAGGUUGAA